AGAUUUACUCCUUUAUUUUCUUCUGAGAGUAUUAAAUUUUUAUCCCUUUUUUGUUAUAUUUUAUUUUAUUAUUUAUUUAUUUAUUUAUUUAUUUAUUUAUUUAUUUAUUUUGUCAACUUCAGUAGACUUGUCAACCUGGAUUUCUUACCACAGUGACUAAUUAAUCCUUUCUGACUAUUGUGCCUCAAUAUCUGCUAUUUGAUCAAUUUGUCUAGUUAUGGUGCUAGCCAAAAGAGGAAUACGUGCCACCUUUUGAACUGCAGCCUUUGCUAAAUGUUCAGGACAAAUGUCCUUAUUUGUACAGUUAUGCAGGUCCACUUUUAUUGGAUUUUUUUCAAUAAAUAUAUUGGAAGAGUUUUUUGAGAUUUGUGACAAAUCUGAAAAAACUCACAAAUGAACUGCAUAACCUAGAAAUAUAAAAAAAUUAAGACAAAGUUAGUUAUGCCAUGAAUGUAUAAAAUACGUAUACCUACUAGGCUAUUUCAUUAUUUACUAUCAUAAAAUACACACUGAUUUAUUAUAAAAAGU
rnacentral:lncRNA from 1 species